UCUGACCAGGGAUCUCUAUCUCGCUGGGGCCUCCAAAAUGUUGCAGUGUGCAAGCGAGAUCACACCAAAUGUGUCUAAGGCAUAUUAAGGAGUCUGUAUUA
rnacentral:miRNA from 1 species